UCACAGUCAGUUUGUCUCAGUUCAUUGUCUCCGUCUUAUGACAUUCAAAUGAACCCUGGUUCAGGCUCUCGAUCAGCUUAGUCUGUGGGGAAAUAUUUUCAACCCUAACCACAAACCAUGUAUCGCAUUAGCAGCAGAAAUCCUCACCUCGUGGACACUUCAGUCAUAUGUUCAGAGAGUCAACAUGGAGGUCUGUGCUCUUAACCUCAGGCUGUUGAUCUGUGUGUUAUUCCUGCUGGGUGCACAUGUUCAAGAUGUGGGUAUGUACCGUUAAGUUUCUCAAAGUUAUUGUUCAAAUUUUGGUCUGCAGUUCUUUGACUACGAUUCUCUGAUCUUCCAUUGUGAGGGCUCUCAUGACUCGACUGGAUUGAAAAUUGUACAUCGGUCCAAAGGGGAAUUACUCAAAUGUCAAACUACAGUGACAUCAAAAAGGUCAUCCUGCACUAUUCCUAAUAUUUUUCCAGAGGACAGUGGGCAAUACUGGUGUGAAUCCAGAGAUAGGAAGAGAAGCGACAUCAUCCAUAUCACUGUUACUGCUGGUGAUGUGAUCCUGGAGAGUCCCAUCAGUGUGGUGGAGGGAGAGGCUGUGACUCUGCGCUGCAGACACAAGACGACCUCUACCAAUCUCUCAGCUGAUUUCUACAAAGAUGGCUGCCUUAUCAGAAGAAGCUCUACAGGAAACCUGAGCAUCCCCAGUGUUUCCAAACGUGAUGAAGGAUUCUACAAGUGUAUCUCUGGAGGAAGAGAAUCAGCCAAGAGUCUGAUGGCUGUCCAAGAGUCACACCAAGAGAUUCAUGCGUCCUCAGAUCUUCCGUUCAUAAUCUUCAGAAACGUUCUCCCUGUAGUAAUGAUGGCUUUG